GUGAAUCAUCGAAUUUUUGAACGCAAAUUGCACUCUCCUCGGAGAGUAUGCCUGUUUGAGGGUCAGCCUAUAAAAAUCGACAUCGUUGCUGUUUCGCGGUGGCGUUCGUCGGAAAUUGGGUCAUCUUAAAUCUUUUUGAUUUAAGCGCCUAAAAAUUUUUUUUUGGUUCCUUGAAGGUUUCUAAAAUUUAUUUCCUUCCAGGUUUAGGGUUCCGUUUUUUA
rnacentral:misc_RNA from 1 species